UUCCGGUUGAUCCUGCCGGACCCGACUGCUAUCGGAUUGAGAUUUAGCCAUGCGAGUCGAACGUCCCCCUGUUGCGGGGGGCGUGGCGUACGGCUCAGUAACACGUAGUCAACCUGCCCUGGAGACAAGGACAACCCCGGGAAACUGGGAUUAAUCCUUGAUAGGUCAUCUCAUCUGGAAGGAGAGAUGGCUUAAAGGGGUACGCGGGCUUCUUCUGCGUAUUCGCUCCAGGAUGGGACUGCGUCCGAUCAGGCUGUUGGCGGGGUAAUGGCCCACCAAACCUGUAACCGGUACGGGCCUUGAGAGAGGUGGCCCGGAGAUGGACACUGAGAGAAGGGUCCAGGUCCUACGGGGCGCAGCAGGCGCGAAACCUUCGCAAUGCGCGAAAGCGUGACGAGGUUAAUCCGAGUGACUCCCGCUGAGGGGGUCUUUUGUCAGCUGUAAAUAGGCAGGCGAAUAAGGGGAGGGCAAGCCUGGUGUCAGCCGCCGCGGUAAUACCAGCUCCUCGAGUGGUCGGGGCGAUUAUUGGGCCUAAAGCAUCCGUAGCCGGUUCCGUAGGUCCUCUGUUAAAUCCAACCGCUCAACGGUUGACCUGCAGAGGAUACCGCGGGACUAGGAGGCGGGAGAGGCGGACGGUAUUCCGCGUGUAGGGGUAAAAUCCUUUGAUCCGCGGAGGACCACCAGUGGCGAAGGCGGUCCGCCAGAACGCGCUCGACGGUGAGGGAUGAAAGCUGGGGGAGCGAACCGGAUUAGAUACCCGGGUAGUCCCAGCCGUAAACGAUGCUAGCUAGAUGAUUCAUUCGCAAG
rnacentral:rRNA from 1 species